rnacentral:rRNA from 1 species
AUGACUUUGACUGUUUGCCAUUUCUGGACAUUGACGAGACGACGGGUUUUAGUUGAGGAAAGGACAUUCACUGAUGGGUGGGUGAACAAAUUUUGUUGGAGAACAACAUUUCAUUCUUUUUACCAUGAUAUGCUUUUAAUAGUUAGAUCAGCAAUUAUUUCUGAAAUCGCGGUCACCAGAAAAGGCAACAGAAACUUCGGUGGAUUAUUGGGGCAAACCUUGAUGAACCAAGCAUGGUUCGAAAGAGAAUCCUACGGGGGUGGAUGUGUACUAGAGAGACAUUGGAAAACAAACAAAGAUAGGCUGGAAAAAAUGUAA